rnacentral:rRNA from 1 species
GACGAACGUUGGCGGCGUGCUUAAUACAUGCAAGUCAACUGAAGCACCGGUAGUAAUACUGGUGUGGAGGUGGCGCACGGGUGAGUAACACGUAGGUAAUCUGCCUUCAGGUCUGACAUAACCCGAGAAAUCGAGGCUAAUAGCAGAUGAUGCAGCGGCUUGACAUCAAGACAGUUGUUAAAAGCUUCGGCGCCUGAAGAUGAGCCUGCGUCUGAUUAGCUAGUUGGCGGAGUAAUAGCCCACCAAGGCGACGAUCAGUAGCUGGUCUGAGAGGAUGAUCAGCCACACUGGAACUGAGACACGGUCCAGACUCCUACGGGAGGCAGCAGUAAGGAAUAUUGCUCAAUGGGA